rnacentral:lncRNA from 1 species
CCCUACCUCGAAGGGGUGAGGAUCGUUACACCCAUAAACCCUCAGCCGGUCCCUUUGUCCACCAAUUUAUUGAUAAUAAGUGAAAGUAAACUAAAACGAUACAGGCUCAUAGCUUCGCCCUAAAAAAAAGAGAUUACUUAAUCAUAUUCAUAAUUAAAAAGCAAAAUAUUAUUGAAACCAUGGAUAGAAAACACCUUGUAAAAAUAAAGUUGAAUCAUCAAAAGCUCUCAAAGCCAAGUUCUUCAAAGUUGUGCGUAGAUAAUUUUAAUUGAUGGCUAGCCAUAUUUAUACUACUACAAAUUUUAAUCCUUCCUUGAAAAGUUCUUCUAAAAACUAGGAAACAAAAUAAUAAAAGGAUAACUUAAAAUCACAAUCUAAAUCAACUGAGGAAAUUUGUCCAACAAGUAAUUUAUCACGUUUCUGGACCAUCAGAGUUCCAAUCAGGCUCAAAACGACUUGAUUUAAAGUUUAAGAUGUCGUAAACAUAUUUAUAGAAUGGCCCAUCACCAAAAAACACCAUUUUGGACGACAAAAAGCCCAAAUUAGCCCAAAACAUCACUUUGACAGUUUCACGCACUGGUCCGCCAUAAAUUAACCACUUGGUAAAAAAAAUUGAAACUUUGACACGAACAUGUAGAAAAUUUGUGAACGCCCUCCAAUAGAAAUCACUCCAAAAUUUGGUCGUUUGAUUACUUUUUGCUCAAGAGUAAGUUGCAUGUCCUAUAUUAGAAAUAUAAAUCAAAGUAUCAAAAUCUCACGAAAAUAAUUACCAAAACAUAUUAAGAAUAAGGUAACAUGUAUAAUAUAAAAUCGACUCAUCAUGUUUGCAACAUGAGGGAGAGGGAAUGUGAGAGUGAGUUGAGAGAAAGAGAGAGUGAAGACAAAGUAAGGAAGAGAGAGAGUGUCGGUGGAGAGAUGAUGAGGGAGAAAGAGUGUGAGUUAAUUCCCUAGAAGGAAAAAGGUGAAUAAACAACACAUUACAGUAAAUAGAAAAUAAUUAAAUAAAGCCCAUGUGCAAAAAGGUUCCACCCAAUUGUAUAGAUAGAAAAUUACCAAAUUGCCCUUGACCUUAAAACACGCAUUACUUCUUCAUUCACAUCUGAUUUAUGUUCCGUCUAUGCUCAUGACACACCCCAACCCGAAAUGUCUACCUGGACUCUGAAUCGAGCUAUGUUGGCCUAUGCCCAUAAGGAGCCAUAAAGUGUAGUAAGGUGGAAAAUGUGAAUAAAUUUAAACCUAAAAGUGCCUAAAUGAACCCAUUUCACACGUGAUGUUAGAGCAUAAGUAAAGUAUAGUAGAAGUAGAAUGAGAAUUAUACCAUCGAAGGUAGUCACCUAUACCAACAUUUGCUAAGAAUCCUCAUCGACACGAAAGCUUUGCCACUAAAACCUGGAGGGGCGAAAAACAAGGUGAGUGAGCCUAAAAAUAAAGCUUUGUAAAACCUUUUUGAAAACAUAAUAUUAUCUUGCUAUAAAACAAGUAUAGUUUCCAAAUAUAACAUACUACGUAUAAUAUGAAAAUACUUACUGUAGCCAGCAAUAUCUCAAGAAUGCAAUACUUAACAAUAAUUUGUAAAUAAACACAUAAUGUCUGGCAAUCACAAUAUAGCAUAAACAAACAUAUCAUAUUGAAUGCUCAUCGACAUAUGCUGACACACGAGUUCAUGCAGAGGUAUGCUGACAUGAACAUGACUAGGUGUAAAGAAAUGAUUUACGCUCUAGUACUACAAUCACGUGAAGACUGACACUACGCGCAUCACAUACGAAUCCUAAUUGCCUAUAGCAAUCUAGGACAGGACUAGCACCUACAAUGGAUCCAAAGUGAGCGUAUGAUGUGAUGUGAACAUACACGUGAAGAUUGGCCCUGGCUCGGUGAGUACGAACACCAGUGUAGCACACAAUGAGCAAAUAACGUAAAUAUGGUCAUGCCACAGUAAUUCGAUAAUUCUAGUCAACAUAAUACUAUUCAUAGCCAUAAAUCUAAUUAAAGCAUCCCUUCAUAGUAAGCUUACAUGUCAUCUCGUAGGAUUAUUUCAUAAUUUCUCAACAAUAUGACCUUUCUUAUAAAUGUUAAU